rfam:Gorilla gorilla gorilla genomic chromosome, chr4, whole genome shotgun sequence
GCCAGGUGUGGUGGCGCACGCCUGUAGUCCCAGCUACUCGGGAGGCUGAGGCAGGAGAAUCUCUUGAACCCUGGAGGUGGAGGUUGCAGUGAGCCGAGAUUGUGCCACUGCACUCCAGCCUGGGUAACAUAGUGAGACUCCGUCUCAA